CAGUAGCCACGGUAAUACGUAGGGUGCAAGCGUUAAUCGAAAUUACUGGGCGUAAAGCGUGCGCAGGCGGUUAUAUAAGUCAGAUGUGAAAUCCCCGGGCUCAACCUGGGAACUGCAUUUGAGACUGUAUGGCUAGAGUGUGUCAGAGGGGGGUAGAAUUCCACGUGUAGCGGUGAAAUGCGUAGAUAUGUGGAGGAAUACCGAUGGCGAAGGCAGCCCCCUGGGCCAAUACUGACGCUCAUGCACGAAAGCGUGGGGAGCAAACAGGAUUAGAUACCCGUGUAGUCCCUGUCUCUUAUAU
rnacentral:rRNA from 1 species